rnacentral:tRNA from 1 species
UAGAUGGAUGCUCGUUGGCUUGAGCGCUUAGCUGUUAACUAAGAUUUUGCAGGAUCGAGGCCUGCCCGUCUAG